CACAGCCUUGUUUUCUCUAGAUCAGAGAGAUGGCUUCUGGAUUCAUCUUUCCCUGCAAUCCAGCUUCUCCUCCUGGGGCCCUCAUACUGGAGACUGGGAUCAUCAUCCAGGCUUUUGCACUGGGCCAGGAAUUUGGGAGUCAUCCUGGAUCCGUCUGCCCCUGUCAACCUUUCGCUGUCAACGGAUAUUUAUUGGGCGUCCUCAACAGCCAGGCCCUGUUCAUGGUACUGAAGAACAGCUUGUAUAAAACAACCCUGCCCUCACAGGGCGAUCACCAGUGACCUGUGGUGUGGAGUCUCCUUUUACCUAUGUCUCCUCCUUCCCACUGUCACCAUCCUUGGUCCUCCUCUGUCACCUGGAAUACUCCACUUGGUAACCAGCAUGAUCUUAUAACGCUAGUUUUACCCUUGUCAGCACUUUGCCAAAAACCUCAAAUAAAGACUUUUUUUAAAAUGUGCAAUGGAAAAAUAAAGUUAUAAAUUAUAUCAUAA